rnacentral:rRNA from 1 species
GAUGAACGCUGGCGGCGUGCCUAAUACAUGCAAGUCGAGCGAACAGACGAGGAGCUUGCUCCUCUGACGUUAGCGGCGGACGGGUGAGUAACACGUGGAUAACCUACCUAUAAGACUGGGAUAACUUCGGGAAACCGGAGCUAAUACCGGAUAAUAUAUUGAACCGCAUGGUUCAAUAGUGAAAGACGGUUUUGCUGUCACUUAUAGAUGGAUCCGCACCGCAUUAGCUAGUUGGUAAGGUAACGGCUUACCAAGGCAACGAUGCGUAGCCGACCUGAGAGGGUGAUCGGCCACACUGGAACUGAGACACGGUCCAGACUCCUACGGGAGGCAGCAGUAGGGAAUCUUCCGCAAUGGGCGAAAGCCUGACGGAGCAACGCCGUGUGAGUGAUGAAGGUCUUCGGAUCGUAAAACUCUGUUAUUAGGGAAGAACAAAUGUGUAAGUAACUAUGCACGUCUUGACGGUACCUAAUCAGAAAGCCACGGCUAACUACGUG